rnacentral:rRNA from 1 species
GGUUAAGCGACUAAGCGUACACGGUGGAUGCCCUGGCAGUCAGAGGCGAUGAAGGACGUGCUAAUCUGCGAUAAGCGUCGGUGAGGUGAUAUGAACCGUUAUAACCGGCGAUUUCCGAAUGGGGAAACCCAGUGUGAUUCGUCACACUAUCAUUAACUGAAUCCAUAGGUUAAUGAGGCGAACCGGGGGAACUGAAACAUCUAAGUACCCCGAGGAAAAGAAAUCAACCGAGAUUCCCCCAGUAGCGGCGAGCGAACGGGGAGGAGCCCAGAGCCUGAAUCAGUGUGUGUGUUAGUGGAAGCGUCUGGAAAGGCGCGCGAUACAGGGUGACAGCCCCGUACACAAAAAUGCACAU